GAUGAACGCUAGCGGCAGGCCUAAUACAUGCAAGUCGAACGGUGUCUUCGGACAUAGUGGCGCACGGGUGCGUAACACGUAUGCAACCUACCUUACAUUGGGGGAUAGCCUUUCGAAAGGGAGAUUAAUACCGCAUAAGACAGUAGCUGGGCAUCCAGCAGCUGUUAAAGAUUUAUCGAUGUAAGCUGGGCAUGCGUCCAAUUAGCUAGUUGGUGAGGUAACGGCUCACCAAGGCAAUGAUUGGUAGGGGAACUGAGAGGUCAAUCCCCCACACUGGCACUGAGCAACGAGCCAGACUCCUACGGGAGGCAGCAGUAGGGAAUAUUGGGCAAUGGACGCAAGUCUGACCCAGCCAUGCCGCGUGCAGGAUGAAGGCGUUAUGCGUUGUAAACUGCUUUUAUACAGGAAGAAACGACUCUUGCGAGAGGCAUUGACGGUACUGUAUGAAUAAGCACCGGCUAACUCCGUGCCAGCCGCCGCGGUAACAC
rnacentral:rRNA from 1 species